rnacentral:sRNA from 1 species
AAUAUAAACCAAAAAACAAACAUAUAUACCGUGGCUAACACAUACACUCUUUUACCUGGGUCAUAAAAACUAACAAAAGUAUAUCAUAGAUAUACUCAUUUAUUAAUUACCUAUUGAUGGGCGGCGUACUUUAUUUAAGAUUUUAUAAUAUUACAUUGAUUGCCAUAAUUGCAUACAUAGUGACUAUGUGAUUGAGUAGUAUAGUAAAUAUAUAAAUGAAUUAUAUGGGGUUUUACUUGGGACAUAGAACAAAGCUCCAGUCUUUUCUGAUGAUCAUCGAACUUCUUGGAUUCCAGCUUCUUUACUAUCUAGGUAUCAUCAAUCUCAUUUACAUUCUCUCCAAUCAAUUCAUCCCAAUUUUUAGUUCUUUUUCGUCUAAUUUCUGAGGAAUCUCAGGAAUUUUAGAACCAAUAAAGAUCUUAUACCUUUGAAUAUCGUAGGAAUAGAGGUACCAAAGAAGACAGUUCUUCGAGGUAGGUCCCAUAUCAAUUCCCUUGGGACAUCUAUUGGGUUUAGGCUGGAUGCAUGAUCCGCAAACAUAGCAACCGAGAACUCUUGAAUUGAAAAUCUGAUAGGCGCUUCACCAAAAUCCAUCCAAAUCUCGUGCUUUUUCGCCGUCACUAACAUGUAAUGAGCGAACUGGACCGAAAAAGCUACUUCUCGACCGUGCUCAAGCAGAUACCCGAACUGAGAAUUACAAAGCUGUGACCAUUCUUUCUCUUGCUUAUUCAACGCAUACUUCACAGUGUCCUGAUAUUUCAAUUAACACAAUAAUUAAACUUAAAAAGUA